rnacentral:lncRNA from 1 species
CCAAAGCAGGCUCUGUGCUAUCAGCAUAGAGCCCAACGCGGGGUUUGAACUCACAGACCAUGAGAUCAUGAUCUAAGCUGAAGUCGGACACUUAACCAACUGAGCCACCCAGGCACCCCAAGAAUUAAAGUUUUAAUUACUGAGUGGGACAUAGUGACUUUUUAACAACAGAGAAAAACAAAAUCCCAGUACCUGGGAGGCUCAGGGGAUAAGAGGAGAGAGCAUCACUGAUCUUGGCUUUUCAGAACUGUUCUGGCUUGGAACUGAUGGCCUCAAGUAGUCCCUCUUAAGCUAAUAACUCAAGGGAAUUAUUUGGACCGCAGCCAGAACCCUAGGAUAGGAGGUCCCACCUGGGGAGUCCUGAUACCUUGACUUUCAGACAAAUACACGCCCUCCUAGGGGGGCCCUGACACUGUAAACUCUGUUUCAGGUGGGGGGGCAGGUUUGGCCUCUGGGACUGUACUUCUUCUGUGAGUCCCCCGGACAUCAUGAUAUUCAUUGCCUGUGCCCCGGAAGGUGUUCAAAGCAGCUUCAACUUACUGGCCACAGUUGUGCUGUGCUGAAUCCUUGUGCCUCUGCUCAGGUAAAGAAAGGCUCGUACAGAAAUGUUAAGAAGCCAUUUCCUUGUCUAAGAUAAACCUUUGUGAUUCGUGGGUUUCAUUUCACCUGGGUCCAAGAUCUCUGUAUGGCAUAACCAAGUUCAGUGAUGUAUGCUGGUCUCACCCAGCUGCGUGGGGUCCUACUGAUCAUGUUUUGUUCUCAAGAUGCCUUGGCCCAAGACAAAGGGCAUGUGCAGAAAAGAGUUAACCUAGCAGUUCUAGAAAGGCAUGCUUAUAAGGUUGGCCCUUGGCUGGCAUCUGAAAAUGUGGAUUUGGGGAGGGUUCCAGUUUCUUUGAAUGGGUGCACCAGGGUUUGUUAGCAUUUCUCAUUAACCUCUAUAAUCCACUUAUUGACAAAUCAAAGUGGGAGUCUUGGUUACAAGACAGAACAUAGGGAUGCUUGGGUGGCUUAGUCAGUUAAGCAGCCGGCUUCGGCUCAGGUCAUGAUCUUGGGGUUCGUGAGUUCAAGCCCUGCGUCGGGCUCUGUGUGGACAGCUCAGAGCCUGAAGCCUGCUUAGGAUUCUGUGUCUCCCUCUUUUUCUGCCUCUCCCCCACUUGUGCUUUCUCUGUCUCUGUCUCUCUCUGUCUCUGUCUCUCUCUCUCUCAAAAAUAAACAUUUUUAAAAAAUUUAGAGCACUGCCAAACUCUUUUCCAUGGUGGCUGAGCCGUUUACAUUCUCACCAGAAAUGCAGGAGGGUUCCAAUUCCUCCCCAUCCUCACUAACAGUUGUUGGCCAUCCAUUGAUUCUAGACAUUUCAGCUUUCCUUGAAGUGAUGCUUCAUUGUGGUUUUGAUUUGCAUUUCCCUAAUGACUAGUAAUGUUGAUUUUUAUGUGCUUAUUGCCAAUUUGCAUAUCCUCUUUGGAGAAAUCUCUACGCAUAUCCUUUGCCUAUUUUUAUUUUUUAAAGUUUAUUUAGAGAGAGAGUGUGUGUGUGUGCAGGCGUGUGGGCGAGUGGGGGAAGGGCAGAGAGAGGGAGAGAAUCCCUAGCAGGCUCCGUGUUGUCAGCUCAGAGCCCCAAGCAGGGCUCGAUCUCACGAACCUAGAGAUCAUGACCUGAGCUGAAAUCAAGAAUCAGACACUUAACCGACUGAGCUACCAGUGCCCCUCUUUGCCUAUUUUUAAAUUAUAUUACUUGCCUUUUAAUUAUUGAAUUGUAAGAGUUCCUCCUAUAUUCUAGAAUAGAGUCCCUUCUCAGAUAUAUGAUUUGCAAUAAUUGUUCCCAUCCUGUGGGUUCUUUUCACUUUCUUGAUGGUGUCAUUUGCAACACAAAAGUUGUAAUUUUGAUGAAGCCCAAUUUAUCUACUUUUUAUUAGUCAUCUGUGUAUUUUGUGUGUAUCGAAGAAGAGACACUGACUUGUUUCUUUUUUUUUUUUAAGAUUUUAUUUUUCAGGCUCUGUGCUGACAGCAGAGAGCCUGACACGGGGCUCGAACUCACGAACUGUGAGAUCAUGACCUGAACUGAAGUCUGAUGCUUAACUGCUUGAGAUACCCAGGCACCCUGAGACUGAGUUUUUAACUUAAGAAAAGAUCUUUAGCUGAGAGAAUGGGAUCUGUUUCCAAGUUGUCACCUUGGAAGGCAGAGCACCUUAAAAUAAUAAUAAUAACAAUAAUAAUAAUAAUAAUAACAAAAACUCUGAUUUUCUGGUCACUGAUUUAUGUGUCAGGCACCGUGCUAAGCACAUUAUAUACUGUGCUCUUUACUCAUUAAAUCCCCAAAUAACCCUCAGAGGUAAGUGCUAUCGACAUCCCCAUUUUACAGAUUAGAAAACAGAGGCUCAGAGAGGUGUCUGAGCACAGCGAAAAAGUGACAGAACUGAGAAAUGAACCAGGCCUGACUCUCUCCAAAGCCUACAAGCUAGCCACUUCCAGCCAUGAUGUCAUUACUCAGAUAUUUUGGGAAAUGCUUUGGGAAUGACCUCUGAGCCCAUUUUCAAGCAGCAGGAAAAACAAACAAACAAACAAACAAAAAUCCA